rnacentral:rRNA from 1 species
AUUGAACGCUGGCGGCAGGCCUAACACAUGCAAGUCGGACAGUAGCACAGAGGAGCUUGCUCCUCGGGUGACGAGUGGCGGACGGGUGAGUAAUGUCUGGGGAUCUGCCCGAUAGAGGGGGAUAACCACUGGAAACGGUGGCAAAUACCGCAUAACGUCGCAAGACCAAAGAGGGGGACCUUCGGGCCUCCCACUAUCGGAUGAACCCAGAUGGGAUUAGCUAGUAGGCGGGGUAAUGGCCCACCUAGGCGACGAUCCCUAGCUGGUCUGAGAGGAUGACCAGCCACACUGGAACUGAGACACGGUCCAGACUCCUACGGGAGGCAGCAGUGGGGAAUAUUGCACAAUGGGCGCAAGCCUGAUGCAGCCAUGCCGCGUGUAUGAAGAAGGCCUUCGGGUUGUAAAGUACUUUCAGCGGGGAGGAAGGCGAUGUGGUUAAUAACCUUGUCGAUUGACGUUACCCGCAGAAGAAGCACCGGCUAACUCCGUGCCAGCAGCCGCCGUAA